ACGAACGCUGGCGGCGUGCCUAAUCCAUGCAAGUCGCACGAGAGCGACCGGUGCUUGCACUGGUCAAUCUAGUGGCGAACGGGUGAGUAACACGUGGGUAACCUGCCCAUCAGAGGGGGAUAACAUCCGGAAACGGAUGCUAAAACCGCAUAGGUCUUCGAGCCGCAUGGCUUGAAGAGGAAAAGAGGCGCAAGCUUCUGCUGAUGGAUGGACCCGCGGUGCAUUAGCUAGUUGGUGAGGUAACGGCUCACCAAGGCCGUGAUGCAUAGCCGACCUGAGAGGGUGAUCGGCCACAUUGGGACUGAGACACGGCCCAAACUCCUACGGGAGGCAGCAGUAGGGAAUCUUCCGCAAUGGACGCAAGUCUGACGGAGCAACGCCGCGUGAGUGAAGAAGGUUUUCGGAUCGUAAAACUCUGUUGUUAGAGAAGAACAAGUGCUAGAGUAACUGUUAGCGCCUUGACGGUAUCUAACCAGAAAGCCACGGCUAACUACGUG
rnacentral:rRNA from 1 species